rnacentral:lncRNA from 1 species
CCCCGUGGCUUUGGGGGCUGUGAGCUGGGCUGGCAGCGUGGGCCGGGUGUGAGCCGUGCUGGACACAGCCUGCAGCUCACAGGGAACCCUCUGCUCCUGCACGUCCCCACUUUUUGGUGAGGCUCCUGCAGGUGGCAGGUGCUGCAGAGCCCAGCGCUGUGCUGUGGGCGGCCCAGAGAGCCACUCUGCUCAUCCUGAAGUUGUGUUUCUUUCUUUAUUUUUUUUUAUUCAAGGACUGCUGCAGCUCUAUCACUUUGGAUUUGUCAUUUUUUAAUGGCCUAUAAACUAACGACAAGUCGACAAUUCCUUGAUAUGCUCCUUGUUUGCAUUGCCUAUACCACGUCCUCCACAAAUGCAGCAGCUCUCCCAGCACCAGACCUAGUCAAAGCUGUUGUGUUCCUCAGGCCCAGGAACCUGCCCCAGCUGCAGCACGUUGGAGCAGGCUGAGCACGGAGAGAUGGGGCAGAGCUGCAAGGAGACCUCACUGCAAACAGAGUACCCCAGGUUUGAUUUUGCAUGGAGUCUUGAGCAGGACAGAGCUGAAGCUGUUUGCUCUGUGCUUGGUGGUGCCCAGUCUGCAGGAGCAGGGGUGUCCAGCUGCCCUGGGAGCCUGACCUGCAUUGCUGAGCAUGCCUUGGUUCGAGCCACCAGUAGCAGCUCAGCUUUCCUGCAUCACGUCCCCUUCACACCUCCCUGGCUGUGUUAACGGUGAGGAUCCCAAAAGUCAAUAAAACUGCGGCCAUUUCUGAAGCA